ensembl:lncRNA
UCGCAUGGAAGACAGAGUGCUUAUGCCAAUGAGUGUGCGGGAGGAUGGCUGAGGAGUGCAGCUCUGGACUGUGAUGAGACACCACUUUGCACCCACUGAGUUGGAAGCCUGGGCCGCUCUGUAAGGUGUCUGCUGGGGCCCCCACGUGUGUUAGAGACAUCCUCGAAGGGAGGGCUGGGUCCUGCAGACAAGCAGGUUGCGGGACUGUUGAGCUGGAAACCUUUUGGCGUACGUGUCAAUACGGUCUCAUUAGUACCCACUGAGCGACGAAGCUUGGGAGAUUGAGGUGAAACUGGGAAUUUUUUAAACAGUGUUUUCCCCGCACUGACUCUGGUGCUUUUAGAUGUCAGAUGCGGAGUGACUGACAGAUCAGGUGACAUGUCUCAAAUCUCUCUACAGAUGAGUAAUCGAAUAAGAAACUAGUGGCCAGAAGCAUGGUUUCGUCCCCGUUUUCCCACUACAACCCUCUCCCGGGCCGCACAUGCUCCAUCAUUACCAUCAUAAUCUCCGUCCCUGAUCUUUGGCCAGAAGGAAGCCCUGUUGGAGAAGCUAUUUUCUGAACAUCCCUUUAUACCCCGAUUUCACAACAUGCAGACAUUUAGGUGGAGAGACUGGACUUCAUGCCCUCAUGGCAGCUGUAAUUUGGAAGUCAAAUGCAGCAGGGCACACUUAGAGCUGAUCCGUGAUUCCCGCACAGAGAGCCAAGAAGGUCCCACUGUUCCAGAAGGUGCCCUCAUUCCAGAAGGUCCAGUCAUUCCAGAAGGUCCCACCGUUCCAGAAGUUCCCACCAUUCCAGAAGAUUCCACCAUUCCAGAAGAUCCCACCAUUCCAGAAGAUCCCACCAUUCCAGAAGGUCCCACCGUUCCAGAAGGUCCCACAGUUCCAGAGGUCCAGUCAUUCCCCUCUGUAAUGAACCCACGCUCUGUCCCAGUGCCCUGCAAACACAGAUCUGCUUUUCAUCAUUGGUUUGGCCUUUUUAAGAAUUGUAGCCAAAUGGAGUCUUACAGUAUUUAGUCUCUUCUUUUUUUACACCUAAUAUAACACUUUGAAGAGCCAUCCAUAUUGCCAUGCUGACGUUGGUGUAAGUAGUCGGUUCCUUUUAUUUCAGUGUAGUAUUCCGGGGUAUGUAGAUGCCACUGAUACGGUUUGGUUUUGUGUUACCACUCAAAUCUCAUCUUGAAUUGUAAUCCCCAUACCACCCCCCCAUGUCAAGGGAGAGACCAGAUGAAGGUAACUGAAUCGUGGGGACAGUUUCCCCCAUGCUGUUUUCAUGGUAGUGAGUUGUCACGGGAUCUCAUGGUUUUAUAAGGGGCUCUUCCCCCUUCACCUGGCGUUUCUCCUUUCUGCUGUCAUAUAAAGAAGGUGCCUUGCCUCCUCUUCGCCUUCCCUCGUGAUUGUAAGUUUCCUGAGGCCUUCUCAGACAUGCUGAACUGUGAGUUGAUUAAACCUUUUGCCUUUAUGAAUUACCCAGUCUCGGCAGUUCUUUAUAGCAGCAUGAAAAUGGACCACUGCAGCCACAAUGUGUUUAUUCACUCACCAGGUGGUAGCGAGGUUGUUUCCCUUGCCCAUUAUGAACAAAGCGUCUGUAAACACAUGAGCAGGUGUGCACUAUGGAAGACAGCACGGAGAUUCCUUAAAGAAUUAAAAGCAGAACUACUACUUGAUCCAGCAAUCCCACCCCUAGGUACCUGCCCAGAGGAAAAGAAGUCGUUAUAUGCAACAGACACUCGCACACGUCUGUGUAGCAGCACAGUUUCCAGUCAUGGAAACAGACCCAGCCUAAAUGCCCACACACCAGCCAGCAGAUAAAGACAAUGUGUACAUAUAUACCAUGGAGAUCCUACUCAGCCACAAAGCAGAAUGAAACCAUGGCUUCUGCGGCAACUUGAAUGGAGUUGGAGGCCAUUAUUCUAAAUGAGGUAACUCAGAAAUGGAAAACCAAAUAUCGUAUGUCCUCACUUACAAGUGGGAGCUAAACUAUGAGAAUGACAAAGCCUGAGAAUGAUGAGGUGGGGAAGGGUGGAAGCAGGGUGAGGGCUAAAAGGUCACAUGUUGGGUGCAGUGUACACUGCUAGGGUGAUGAGCGCACCAAAAUCUCAGAAAUCUCCACUGAAGAACUUACCCAUGUAA